rnacentral:siRNA from 1 species
UGAAAGUGCCAGUCUUGUU